rnacentral:rRNA from 1 species
GAUGAACGCUAGCGAUAGGCUUAACACAUGCAAGUCGAGGGACCGGCGCACGGGUGCGUAACGCGUAUGCAACUUGCCUCACAGAGGGGGAUAACCCGUCGAAAGACGGACUAAUACCGCGACCUGUGAGAUAGGCAUGGGGGCCAUUAGUUAGUUGGUGAGGUAACGGCUCACCAAGGCAACGAUGGGUAGGGGAACUGAGAGGUUGCACCCCCACACGGUUACUGAGACACGGACCAGACUCGUACGGGAGGCAGACGUGAGGAAUAUUGGUCAAUGGGGGAGAGCCUGAACCAGCCAAGUCGCGUGAAGGAUGACUGUCUAUGGAUUGUAAACUUCUUUUGUAGGGGAAUAUGUACCCUACGAAUAAGCAUCGGCGAACUCCGUGCCAGCAGCCGCGGUAAUUC